UGGUAGUAUGACUGAUAUGAAGGAUCUGGCUUCAGUUCUAGAAGAGCUUAAAUAUUCAAAGGAAACAGCAUGGAGAAAGCAGAUGGUUGUUCCUUAUUUCAGAUGAUUUGCAUGGCCCAAUCAGAUGUUCCAACAAUCUUGUCAGCAGCUGUCAUAUGGUGCAUGGCUUAUGUUCUUGUUGCAAUUAUCAGCUCUCUGCGUGCAUGUACUUUAAUCUGCUUCUGUGUUUCAAGUUGGUGAAGCAGUUUUAACACAAUUCAGAAUCACUUUUUACUUUGAGUUUACUGGAACACCCUAGGUACGAUGAUUAAUAACCAAAUUGUUGUUGGGCAUGAAUCAGAAGGUGGCAUUACUCCCACAACGGGGUGACGAAUCACAAGGAUGCUGUUGAUAUGGUGCACGGACACUUCAUUGCUUCUGUCAGUCGAGAUAUGACUACACAACCUCAAAAAGGAGGCUUUGAAGCUAUAGCUUCUGUUCCUAUAGCUGUUUCCUUGCUCUUGGCUGGAAUCGUUUUCGCGUUCAUGUCUCUGAAGCAAAGUUCGGUUGGAUGUUCUUCUGUGGGCAAGCUUAAGCAUUGCUACAACCAAUACUGCAUAAGCCUCGAUGCUAAUCAGAAUUCAACCAAGGGGUGAUACGUGCGGCCGUUUCUUACUCCGUUUUUUGUGUUAUGGAAAUUUGUUGGACAUUCGACUUUUCAUUCUUAUUAUUUGAUUUCUAUUUUAUUGGGCUUUUCUGAUGGGAAGGUUUCCCAUGAGUAAGUUCUAUAGUGAGGGAGGACUGUAUUUUUCCAAGGUUCAUACUUCAUACUUCCCACAAGCAGUCUCUUGAACCCUUUUGUCUGAAUAGUGUAUGUUGUGUAUCUUGAACCGUUGAGUAUCUAUGGUAUUAAGGAUAUCACAAAAAUUGUUGGAACC